UAUAAAAGGAUGUCACAUAGAGGAGGGAGAAAGGUUGUUUUUCUGCUGCUCCAGAGAAGCGGACACGGAGCAAUGGAUCCAAACUACAAGAAAGAAAGCUCCUGCCAACCUAGCAGUUUGAAAGCACAUCAAAGUGCAAGUAGAUAAUAGGUACUGUUCCGGCGGGAAGGUAAACGGCGUUUCCAUGUGCUGCUCUGGUUCGCCAGAAGCGGCUUAGUCAUGCUGGCCACAUGACCCGGAAGCUGUACUCCGGCUCCCUCGGCCAAUAAAGUGAGAUGAGCGUCGCAACCCCAGAGUUGGCCACGACUGGACCUAAUGGUCAGGGGUCCCUUUACCUUUACCUUACAGUAUAUAUACACCCAGAGUCUUCCAUGGAGAAGGAGAUAGUUCCACAGAAUUAUAUCUCAAGCAGGGCUUGUUCUCUGCAGCAGCACAGUCCAAGGCAUCCUGCACACCAUUCCUGUGCUUCUCUCCCAGACUCCCAAUAUGGUUCUGCCCUUCCUCCCUACUUUCUUCUUUCUUCCCAGAAAACCCUGCCAAAACCCAAAUCUCCUUCCUGUCACCUCGCAUCACCUUGGUAAUCUCUGUUUUUACACAGCCCUGGGGGAUUCCUCUUGAGGUGAUAACGACUGCCUGUUGUUUCAUAAUGACCUACAUUCAACCAGCCCAGCCAUGGUAGUUUGCAUAGGAGAACUGUACACCCAGAAGAACUGUACUUUCUCUUCUAAAUACUGCUGUUUAACAAUUUCUACAAUUCACUAAUAGACUCUAGUACCUCAAAUUCAUAACAGUAUUUUUAGUGCUUUAAAAGUCUGUAAAGCCUAUUUGAUCAGUAGAACAUACAACAUGCUGCCAGCUGCCUUUGUCCCAGUGGAUUGGAUCCAGAGAUCUGCCCAUGGAAAGGGGUGAACAGAAGCUAACUCUCUCCCUGGCAGCUCCACAAGGCUCCUUCCUUUCCCAAGGGUCAAGGGACUACUGAGUAAGGUGGGAUAUGGUGACAGGGGAGAUAGCAGUUUCCCCUUCAUAACACAACCCAGUCCCAGCCAACAUGGUAAGGUUCCUCAAUGCUAGGGGAAGCAUUUCCCCCCCAGCUAGAGCAGGCCUAGAGGUGGUCUUCAUCUGUCUCUCUCCUAUUGAUCUUGUGACACCUUGCUGAAAGCCAGAUCAUUUGCUAAUCAAUAUGCCAGAUCAUUGGCUAAAGUGAUUGAUACUUACUUUCAUGGACAGAUAUGUCAAAUGUUACUUGAACUAUUUAUAUUGGCAGGAACUUCAAAAAGAAUUACAAAUGUUUGUAAGAAUUCCCAGGACUGAGACAGCAGAGUAGGUGAACCUUUGAACAUUGAUGAGUAUAUAUUAUACAUUCCAUAUUACCUGUGCAUCUGCCUCUGCUAGAUAACAUUAAGCCUUAGAACUUGUGUGAAGCUCUGUAGUUGCCUCAGGGGGAAUAGAGCAGCAUCAGUCACUGGUGAGAGCUGCAUGUUGUCUGUGGCAGUUGCACCUUGAUUUAGUGGACACAAGGCCAAGGUGUCACCAGAGCCUCAGUAGCAAAACAGGCUGCCCACCUUCAGAAGGACUUCCAGAGUUUAUUCAGAUUCUGAAAUCCUCUGUUUCAUUAUUUUUAUAAGUGACUUUAUUUUCAGUGAAGGAAAAAAUAUGUCCCUAGUUGCUCCCCUAUUCAAAAAAGGACGGGGAAUGAUGUCUGCCAGCUCCAUCUCCAGCCUCCCCAUACACUAUGCCACACCAUUCCCAAAUGUCUCAUAACCCCCAGGAACAAAUGUUUGAGGGAUACAGUGGGUUGCAGAAAAAGUGGGAAUUGGGAACCCAAUUCUGUGGAAGAUCGUUUAAGUCCAAGCCACAUUUACGUUUAUCUGUCAUAGCAUCUAUGUUUUUCCUGUAGCUGUAUUAAGUGUGUGGGGGGAAACACUUUUAAAAGAACUGCAGGGUUGCAGUUAUUGGAGUGAACUACCUAGCAGUUUGAAAGCACGCAGUGCAAGUAGAUAAAUAGGUACCGCUCCGGUGGGAAGGUAAAUGGCGUUUCCGUGCGCUGCUCUGGUUCGCCAGAAGCGGCUUAGUCAUACUGGCCACAUGACCCGGAAGCUGUACGCUGGCUCCCUCGGCCAGUAAAGUGAGAUGAGCACCACAACCCCAGAGUCGUCCACGAAUGGAGGGGUCCCUUUACCUUUACUGGGGUGAAUCACUGGCAAGAGAAAUGGUUAUGUGCUUUCCUCCCACCUUUCUAAGGGGCCACCCUGCCCACUUCCUGAGAGCAAUUGCUUAGUUUCAUAUAUACCAGAGGCAGAGGCAUAGGAAGGUCAGGUGGUACCCGGUACGAAAAAUUUCUUGUCACCCCCCUCACACACAUUGAUUUUUUUUUGCCUGCAAAAAUGGUUUUACGUUAUUUCAUAUUUUCUUACAAAGGAAUGUGGAUUCAGAGCCUCUGAUAACAAGUAGGCGACUAUGGACAGAUACUUAAAUCUACAGGAUGGAUUGUGUUUUGGCUCGUGUUAUUUUAUUUAUAUUUAUUUAUUUAAUAAAAUUUAUUUUAAAAAACCUGCAUAGUGGUUUACC